rnacentral:rRNA from 1 species
AUGGGAGAAGCCAAGGACGCCGAGGUGUACGAGGAGGAUCUCGUCGACUACGAUGAGGAGGUGGAGAACGCCGUCGACGGCGCAGCCGCCAACCCUUCCGUCGACGUCGUCAAGAAGGGUUACGUGGGAAUCCACAGCUCAGGGUUCAGGGACUUCCUGCUCAAGCCAGAGCUGCUCCGUGCGAUCCAGGACUGCGGGUUUGAGCAUCCUUCCGAAGUGCAACAUGAAUGCAUCCCUCAAGCCAUUCUCGGAAUGGAUGUCAUCUGUCAAGCAAAAUCUGGGAUGGGCAAGACUGCUGUUUUUGUCCUCUCAACUCUCCAGCAGAUUGAUCCGGUUGCUGGGCAAGUAGCUGCACUUGUGUUAUGCCAUACACGAGAGUUAGCAUACCAGAUUUGCAAUGAAUUCGAGAGGUUUAGCAAGUACCUGUCAGAAACAAAAGUUGCUGUCUUCUAUGGUGGCGUUCACAUAAAAAAACACAAGGAUUUGUUGAAGAAUGAAUGUCCUCACAUUGUGGUUGGCACACCUGGAAGGAUCCUAGCUCUGGCUAGAGACAAGGACCUUUCAUUGAAGAAUGUGAGGCAUUUCAUUCUUGAUGAAUGUGACAAGAUGCUUGAUUCACUUGACAUGCGUAGAGAUGUCCAGGAGAUCUUCAAGAUGACACCCCAUGAUAAACAAGUGAUGAUGUUUUCAGCAACACUCAGCAAGGAAAUUCGCCCGGUUUGCAAGAAAUUUAUGCAAGAUCCCAUGGAAAUUUAUGUUGACGAUGAGGCUAAACUGACCCUUCAUGGUCUAGUUCAGCACUAUAUUAAACUAAGUGAGGCGGAGAAGAAUCGGAAAUUGAAUGAUCUCUUAGAUGCGCUCGACUUCAACCAAAUUGUGAUAUUUGUUAAAAGUGUUGGUAGAGCUUCAGAACUUAACAGGCUGCUCUGUGAAUGCAAUUUUCCUGCGAUCUGCAUACAUUCGGGAAUGACACAGGAGGAGAGGCUGACCCGGUAUAAGAACUUCAAGGAAGGGCACAAGAGGAUCCUUGUGGCUACGGAUUUGGUUGGCAGGGGGAUUGAUAUUGAGCGUGUCAAUAUUGUCAUAAACUAUGACAUGCCUGAUUCUGCUGAUACAUACUUGCACAGGGUUGGAAGGGCUGGGCGUUUUGGAACCAAAGGGCUUGCAAUAACAUUUGUUGCUUCUGCCUCUGACUCUGACGUCCUCAAUCAGGUGCAAGAAAGGUUUGAGGUUGACAUCAAGGAGCUGCCUGAGCAGAUCGACACUUCAACAUACAUGCCAUCUUGA